rnacentral:rRNA from 1 species
AACGCGAAGAACCUUACCUGGGCUCGAACGGCUUCUCAACGAUCGUGGAAACACGGUUACCCCGCAAGGGGGUGGAGUCGAGGUGCUGCAUGGCUGUCGUCAGCUCGUGUCGUGAGAUGUUGGGUUAAGUCCCGCAACGAGCGCAACCCUCGCCCUUAGUUGCCAUCCCGCAAGGGGGCACUCUAGGGGGACUGCCACGGAUAACGUGGAGGAAGGUGAGGAUGACGUCAAGUCCUCAUGGCCUUUAUGUCCAGGGCUACACACGUGCUACAAUGGCCGGUACAAUCCGUCGCCAACUCGCGAGAGGGAGCCAAUCGGAAAAAGCCGGCCUCAGUUCGGAUUGCAGUCUGCAACUCGGCUGCAUGAAGCUGGAAUCGCUAGUAAUGGCAGAUCAGCAUGCUGCCGUGAAUACGUUCCCGGGCCUUGUACACACCGCUACAGU